rnacentral:rRNA from 1 species
CUCAGUUCGGAUCGGAGUCUGCAACCCGACUCCGUGAAGCUGGAUUCGCUAGUAAUCGCGCAUCAGCCAUGGCGCGGUGGAUACGUUCCCGGGCCUUGUACACACCGCCCGUCAAGCCAUGGGAGCCGGGAGCGCUUGAAGUGCGUCGCCGCGAGGCGCGCCCUAGAGCGAGACCGGUGACUGGGGCUAAGUCGUAACAAGGUACC